rnacentral:rRNA from 1 species
UACGUAGGGUGCAAGCGUUGUCCGGAAUUAUUGGGCGUAAAGAGCUCGUAGGCGGUUUGUUGCGUCGGCUGUGAAAUCCCGAGGCUCAACCUCGGGUCUGCAGUCGAUACGAGCAAACUAGAGUGUUGCAGGGGAGACUGGAAUUCCUGGUGUAGCGGUGAAAUGCGCAGAUAUCAGGAGGAACACCGAUGGCGAAGGCAGCUCACUGGGACGGUACUGACGCUGAGACGCGAAAGCGUGGGGAGCAAACAGG